CAGCAGCCGCGGGAAUACAGAGGGUGCGAGCGUUAAUCGGAUUUACUGGGCGUAAAGCGUGCGUAGGCGGCUUCUUAAGUCGGAUGUGAAAUCCCUGAGCUUAACUUAGGAAUUGCAUUCGAUACUGGGAAGCUAGAGUAUGGGAGAGGAUGGUAGAAUUCCAGGUGUAGCGGUGAAAUGCGUAGAGAUCUGGAGGAAUACCGAUGGCGAAGGCAGCCAUCUGGCCUAAUACUGACGCUGAGGUACGAAAGCAUGGGGAGCAAACAGGAUUAGAUACCCGAGUAGUCCCUGUAUCUUAUAC
rnacentral:rRNA from 1 species